GCUCGUAGGCGGUUUGUCGCGUCUGCUGUGAAAACUGGGGGNUNNNCCCCCAGCCUGCAGUGGGUACGGGCAGACUAGAGUGCGGUAGGGGAGAUUGGAAUUCCUGGUGUAGCGGUGGAAUGCGCAGAUAUCAGGAGGAACACCAAUGGCGAAGGCAGAUCUCUGGGCCGUUACUGACGCUGAGGAGCGAAAGCAUGGGGAGCGAACAGGAUUAGAUACCCUGGUAGUCCAUGCCGUAAACGUUGGGAACUAGAUGUAGGGGCCAUUCCACGGUUUCUGUGUCGCAGCUAACGCAUUAAGUUCCCCGCCUGGGGAGUACGGCCGCAAGGCUAAAACUCAAAGGAAUUGACGGGGGCCCGCACAAGCGGCGGAGCAUGCGGAUUAAUUCGAUGCAACGCGAAGAACCUUACCAAGACUUGACAUAUACGAGAACGGGCUAGAAAUAGUUCACUCUUUGGACACUCGUAAACAGGUGGUGCAUGGUUGUCGUCAGCUCGUGUCGUGAGAUGUUGGGUUAAGUCCCGCAACGAGCGCAACCCUCGUUCUUUGUUGCCAGCACGUAAUGGUGGGAACUCAAAGGAGACUGCCGGGGUCAACUCGGAGGAAGGUGGGGAUGACGUCAAAUCAUCAUGCCCCUUAUGUCUUGGGCUUCACGCAUGCUACAAUGGCCGAUACAAAGGGCUGCAAUACCGCGAGGUAGAGCGAAUCCCAAAAAGUCGGUCUCAGUUCGGAUUGAGGUCUGCAACUCGACCUCAUGAAGUCGGAGUCGCUAGUAAUCGCAGAUCAGCAACGCUGCGGUGAAUACGUUCCCGGGCCUUGUACACACC
rnacentral:rRNA from 1 species